AAUUGUUUUAUAUUGUUGUCCGAGGUCAACUUAUGACGUUCGCUUGGUUUUAACAUUCAAAAACAUCAAAAUGAAUAAGUAAUAGGCUAUUUUCGACCCUAGUUUUGAGCCUAGCUCAAAAACGCUCGGUUUUUAUGGGCGUCUCGCAUUGAAGACUUGGAAGUAAACGCCCACUGCUGUGAGUGGAUAACAGUUUUGCAUAUUAUAAUGAGUUUCGUGUAAUGCGCGAAUCGGUGGGCGGGGCUAAACCGGCCGUGUUGAAGUAGGCGUUGAUCAUCUUCUGCGGGGGCUGGUGUCAAUAAAAGCUUUUAUUGGACUAACAAGGACGUUUUCAGUUCUGAAAUUUACAGGAUAUUCUUAUAAUUUGAUGAC